rnacentral:tRNA from 1 species
ACAUUGGUGGUGCAGUGGUAGAAUUCUUACCUUCCAUGCAGGAGACCUGGGUUUGAUUCCCAGCCAACGCA